GCUUAGUUGGUAAAGCACAAGGCCCUUAACCUUGUGGACGUGGAUUCAAGUCCCAU
rfam:Triticum aestivum genome assembly, contig: Triticum_aestivum_CS42_TGACv1_scaffold_514211_6BS